UACGAAGGGGGCUAGCGUUGUUCGGAAUCACUGGCGUAAAGGCGCGUAGGCGGCCGAUCAAGUCGGGGGUGAAAGCCUGUGGCUCAACCGCAGAAUUGCCUUCGAUACUGUUUGGCUUGAGACCGGAAGAGGUUAGUGGAACUGCGAGUGUAGAGGUGAAAUUCGUAGAUAUUCGCAAGAACACCAGUGGCGAAGGCGGCUGACUGGUCCGGUUC
rnacentral:rRNA from 1 species